GACGAACGCUGGCGGCGUGCUUAACACAUGCAAGUCGAACGGAAAGGCCCCCUUGUGGGGUACUCGAGUGGCGAACGGGUGAGUAACACGUGAGUAACCUACCCUUGACUUUGGGAUAACUUCAGGAAACUGGGGCUAAUACCGGAUAGGAGCUCCUGCUGCAUGGUGGGGGUUGGAAAGUUUCGGCGGUUGGGGAUGGACUCGCGGCUUAUCAGCUUGUUGGUGGGGUAGUGGCUCACCAAGGCUUUGACGGGUAGCCGGCCUGAGAGGGUGACCGGCCACAUUGGGACUGAGAUACGGCCCAGACUCCUACGGGAGGCAGCAGUGGGGAAUAUUGCACAAUGGGCGGAAGCCUGAUGCAGCAACGCCGCGUGCGGGAUGGCGGCCUUCGGGUUGUAAACCGCUUUCGCCUGUGGCGAAGCGUGAGUGACGGUAAUGGGUAAAGAAGCACCGGCUAACUACGUG
rnacentral:rRNA from 1 species